rnacentral:rRNA from 1 species
GACGAACGCUGGCGGCGUGCUUAACACAUGCAAGUCGAACGGAAAGGCCCUGCUUUUGUGGGGUGCUCGAGUGGCGAACGGGUGAGUAACACGUGAGUAACCUGCCCUUGACUUUGGGAUAACUUCAGGAAACUGGGGCUAAUACCGGAUAGGAGCUCCUGCUGCAUGGUGGGGGUUGGAAAGUUUCGGCGGUUGGGGAUGGACUCGCGGCUUAUCAGCUUGUUGGUGGGGUAGUGGCUUACCAAGGCUUUGACGGGUAGCCGGCCUGAGAGGGUGACCGGCCACAUUGGGACUGAGAUACGGCCCAGACUCCUACGGGAGGCAGCAGUGGGGAAUAUUGCACAAUGGGCGGAAGCCUGAUGCAGCAACGCCGCGUGCGGGAUGACGGCCUUCGGGUUGUAAACCGCUUUCGCCUGUGACGAAGCGUGAGUGACGGUAAUGGGUAAAGAAGCACCGGCUAACUACGUGCCAGCAGCCGCGGUGAUACGUAGGGUGCGAGCGUUGUCCGGAUUUAUUGGGCGUAAAGGGCUCGUAGGUGGUUGAUCGCGUCGGAAGUGUAAUCUUGGGGCUUAACCCUGAGCGUGCUUUCGAUACGGGUUGACUUGAGGAAGGUAGGGGAGAAUGGAAUUCCUGGUGGAGCGGUGGAAUGCGCAGAUAUCAGGAGGAACACCAGUGGCGAAGGCGGUUCUCUGGGCCUUUCCUGACGCUGAGGAGCGAAAGCGUGGGGAGCGAACAGGCUUAGAUACCCUGGUAGUCCACGCUGUAAACGGUGGGUACUAGGUGUGGGGUCCAUUCCACGGGUUCCGUGCCGUAGCUAACGCUUUAAGUACCCCGCCUGGGGAGUACGGCCGCAAGGCUAAAACUCAAAGGAAUUGACGGGGCCCCGCACAAGCGGCGGAGCAUGCGGAUUAAUUCGAUGCAACGCGUAGAACCUUACCUGGGUUUGACAUGGAUCGGGAGUGCUCAGAGAUGGGUGUGCCUCUUUUGGGGUCGGUUCACAGGUGGUGCAUGGCUGUCGUCAGCUCGUGUCGUGAGAUGUUGGGUUAAGUCCCGCAACGAGCGCAACCCUUGUUCACUGUUGCCAGCACGUUAUGGUGGGGACUCAGUGGAGACCGCCGGGGUCAACUCGGAGGAAGGUGGGGAUGACGUCAAGUCACCAUGCCCCUUAUGUCCAGGGCUUCACGCAUGCUACAAUGGCUGGUACAGAGAGUGGCGAGCCUGUGAGGGUGAGCGAAUCUCGGAAAGCCGGUCUCAGUUCGGAUUGGGGUCUGCAACUCGACCUCAUGAAGUCGGAGUCGCUAGUAAUCGCAGAUCAGCAACGCUGCGGUGAAUACGUUCCCGGGAAU